rnacentral:rRNA from 1 species
CACUUCUAAGGAAGGCAGCAGGCGCGCAAAUUACCCAAUCCUGACUCAGGGAGGUAGUGACAAGAAAUAACAAUAAACCGGCUUAUGCCGGUUUAAUUGGAAUGAGUACAAUUUAAACAUCUUAACGAGGAACAAUUGGAGGGCAAGUCUGGUGCCAGCAGCCGCGGUAAUUCCAGCUCCAAUAGCGUAUACUAAAGUUGUUGCAGUUAAAAAGCUCGUAGUUGGAUUUCUGUGGGGACGGAGCGGCCGGCCGCAACUCGCGGUUCGAGCUAGCGCUUUCCCUACAUCCUGCCGCGAACCGUGCUACCAUUAAUUUGGUGGCGCUGGGGAUCGGCUCGAUUACUUUGAGAAAAAUAGAGUGUUCAAAGCAGGCCACACGCCUUGAAUAAGUUAGCAUGGAAUAAUAACUAAGGACUUCGGUUCUAUUUUGUUGGUGUUCGGGACUGAAGUAAUGAUUGAUAGGGACAGUUGGGGCGGUCUGUAUUCCAAAGCGAGAGGUGAAAUUCUUAGACCUUCGGAAGACAAACAGCUGCGAAAGCGUUCCGCAAGGAUGUUCCCUUUGAUCAAGAACGAAAGUUGGGGGAUCGAAGACGAUCAGAUACCGUCGUAGUCUCAACUAUAAACUAUACCAGCUAGGGAUCGGCCAACGUUAUUUAAACCGACUUGGUCGGCACCUUAUGAGAAAUCAAAGCAUCUGGGUUCCGGGGGGAGUAUGGUCGCAAGGCUGAAACUUAAAGGAAUUGACGGAAGGGCACCACCAGCCGUGGAGCCUGUGGCUUAAUUUGACUCAACACGGGAAAACUUACCAGGUCCAGACAUAGUAAGGAUUGACAGAUUGAUAGCUCUUUCUUGAUUCUGUGGGUGGUGGUGCAUGGCCGUUCUUAGUUGGUGGAGUGAUUUGUCUGGUUAAUUCCGUUAACGAACGAGACCCCAGCCUGCUAAAUAGCGCGCGUGAGCUUUGCUCGCGGCGAGCUUCUUAGAGGGACUCUGAUGCGCGAUAGCACAUGGAAGUUUGGGGCAAUAACAGGUCUGUGAUGCCCUUAGAUGUUCUGGGCCGCACACGGGCUACACUGGCGCCUGCAACGAGCAUAUCAGCUGGCCCGAGAGGGUCUUGGCUAAUCUUUUGAACCGGCGCCGUGCUUGGGAUUGACCUUUGCAAUUGUUGGUCAUGCAACGAGGAAUGCCUUGUAAACGCGAGUCAUCAGCUCGCAUUGAAUACGUCCCUGCCCUUUGUACACACCGCCCGUCGCUCCUACCGAUGAAUGUUCCGAUGAAAUUUUCGGAGAGCACCUGUGAACUUGGCUCUGCCUUGCGAACGGGAGGCUCAAAGUCACUUAAAUCUGAACAUUUCGA